GAUGAACGCUGGCGGCGUGCCUAAUACAUGCAAGUCGAGCGAACAGAUGAGGAGCUUGCUCCUCUGACGUUAGCGGCGGACGGGUGAGUAACACGUGGAUAACCUACCUAUAAGACUGGGAUAACUUCGGGAAACCGGAGCUAAUACCGGAUAAUAUAUUGACCCGCAUGGUUCAAUAGUGAAAGACGGUUUUGCUGUCACUUAUAGAUGGAUCCUCGCCGCAUUAGCUAGUUGGUAAGGUAACGGCUUACCAAGGCAACGAUGCGUAGCCGACCUGAGAGGGUGAUCGGCCACACUGGAACUGAGACACGGUCCAGACUCCUACGGGAGGCAGCAGUAGGGAAUCUUCCGCAAUGGGCGAAAGCCUGACGGAGCAACGCCGCGUGAGUGAUGAAGGUCUUCGGAUCGUAAAACUCUGUUAUUAGGGAAGAACAAAUGUGUAAGUAACUAUGCACGUCUUGACGGUACCUAAUCAGAAAGCCACGGCUAACUACGUG
rnacentral:rRNA from 1 species